UAGCAUGCUAGUUGCACGAGUUCAUACUCGUGGCGAAAGCUCAGAAACACGUGGCCAAACUACCCUACAGAGAACGAUAACCUCGGGAAACUGAGGCUAAUAGUUCAUACGGGAGUCAUGCUGGAAUGCCGACUCCCCGAAACGCUCAGGCGCUGUAGGAUGUGGCUGCGGCCGAUUAGGUAGACGGUGGGGUAACGGCCCACCGUGCCGAUAAUCGGUACGGGUUGUGAGAGCAAGAGCCCGGAGACGGAAUCUGAGACAAGAUUCCGGGCCCUACGGGGCGCAGCAGGCGCGAAACCUUUACACUGCACGCAAGUGCGAUAAGGGGACCCCAAGUGCGAGGGCAUAUAGUCCUCGCUUUUCUCGACUGUAAGGCGGUCGAGGAAUAAGAGCUGGGCAAGACCGGUGCCAGCCGCCGCGGUAAUACCGGCAGCUCAAGUGAUGACCGAUAUUAUUGGGCCUAAAGCGUCCGUAGCCGGCCACGAAGGUUCAUCGGGAAAUCCGCCAGCUCAACUGGCGGGCGUCCGGUGAAAACCACGUGGCUUGGGACCGGAAGGCUCGAGGGGUACGUCCGGGGUAGGAGUGAAAUCCCGUAAUCCUGGACGGACCACCGAUGGCGAAAGCACCUCGAGAAGACGGAUCCGACGGUGAGGGACGAAAGCUAGGGUCUCGAACCGGAUUAGAUACCCGGGUAGUCCUAGCUGUAAACGAUGCUCGCUAGGUGUGACACAGGCUACGAGCCUGUGUUGUGCCGUAGGGAAGCCGAGAAGCGAGCCGCCUGGGAAGUACGUCCGCAAGGAUGAAACUUAAAGGAAUUGGCGGGGGAGCACUACAACCGGGAGGAGCCUGCGGUUUAAUUGGACUCAACGC
rnacentral:rRNA from 1 species